rnacentral:rRNA from 1 species
CCGUUGCUGGGGACGUCGAAGGCCCGGGUGGACUGGUACCCCGACGUCGUGCGUUCGCGCCGACGAAGGGGGAAACCCCCGGUGUCCUGGCAGCCCUGCGACGGUCGAGCAGCAGAGGGGCAACACUCCUCCCUCUCGCGGCGUGCAAAAGGUCGGUGACCCACCCGACCCGUCUUGAAACACGGACCAAGGAGUCUAACAUGUGUGCGAGUCAUUGGGCGCACUAAACCCAGAGGCGUAAUGAAAGUGAAAGGGGGGCGUCCCGGGGUCUUCGGGCCUCGGUCGGCGCCCUCCGGGGCCGAUCCCCGACCGCCUGCUGCCGUCUCUGUUUCCCAUACCAAAGCGAGGUCAAGGGGGCGCGCGGGAUGAGACCCUUUCUCCCGCGCCACCCCCGGCUUCGUGGGUGCAGGGCGCGCGCGACGGUCCGGCUCCUUCACGGGAGUCGCUUGUACGCAGGGGGGCGCAGGCCCGGGACUUGCCAUUCGACGCCGUCGCGCAAAUCUGUUGUUGGCCUCGCCGGCUUUGCUUGGGCUCUCGGUUGGCGCGCCGCGCGUCAGGCGGGCUUUGGGUGGGGGUUUCGGCUCU